AUCAGCCAGCCUGGCCAUUUAUUAUUUUGCUCGUCCUUUCAUUUCCCAAUAGCCACGCAUUAAUGGAUAGCCAUUCCAAAAGAUAUCCAAAUCUUGUUAUCCUGAACUGCUCCCUACUCUGCGUCAUUUCAUCUUCAAUCCGGAGGUUCUCUCCAUCUCCCCUCUGGUUUUGUUACACUGUGGAUCAUCGUUUCCCCUCCCAGGUAUGUGUCUUCCCUUCCCACUAACGCUGCUUUUGCUAGAUUGUGGGCUUGAAUGUUCUUCGUUCUAUGGAUAAACUUGAAAAUAACUUCUUCUACCCUGAAUCUCCUGCUCUGUAUGUCAUAAAUAAUCGCACCAAGAACCGAUUUAUCCAUUUCCGUCCUCUGGCAUUUUUGUAUGACUGUUUUCGAAUCCCCUUCUAUCAUUACUUUUGUUAACUCCAUUUCUAUUACUAACUUCAUGGCGUCUAAUCCUGCGAGGGCUUCUGCUACGAACGGGGUGGGAAUAUCCUCAUGUAUAACUAUCUUUGAGGCUUUUAAGUCUCCCAUCUGGUCUCGAACGACUAUACCUGAGGCAAAUCUAGCAUUUCUUCUGCCAAAGGCUGCGUCAAACUGAGCUAUGAUGCCUUCUGUCGCCCCGGUAUAACUGAUUGCCCUUUUGGUAGAAAAGGUAGGUGUUUUCAUUCGGAUCCCAUCCAUUUCUGAUAUGUAACUACUUACUUUCCUUGCUAACUCCCUAACUAGAAUAAUCUUCUUUUCAUGUACUAACUGAUUUUGGGAACUCCAUAUGCACCAUACGCACAGCAAAAGAACCGAUAUUGCUCUAUUGUACCCCUUUCAAGAACCCAGGUUAGCCAUUCCCAAAAACUUUGAUUACUAUGAAUUCUGGUCCAAGACCUCCAUAUUUCACUGAUUGCAGGACAAAGACAAAAGAUAUGGCUACUAUCUUCCUCUUCAAGUCUGCACCGAGGACACCAAGUGUACUCUGUUACUUUCUUAGAUCUUAGAUUAACUAGUGAAGGAAUAUAGUUCCAGGAAAUUCGCCAGAUCAGUAUCUUUAUUUUACUUGUUAUCUGUAAAUUCCAUAAUUUCUUCUAGAAAUUUCUUGUUUCGGGCUAUAAAAGAUAAACAUUAGGAUUCAAGCUAGCAUUAUGUAAUAGUUUAUAGGCGCUUCUGACUGAGAACUCUCUUGAAGGCUCCUCUCUCCACACCUGAAAAUCAGCAUGUUCUGUAUCUGAUAAGGGAAUCUUCAGAAUUUUCUGCGCUAUGUCCGGCUGAAAGGUAUUAUUGAUUAGCUCUCGCUUCCAAGUCCUACAGGUACUAUUGAUUAAAUCUGAAACUGAUGAAACUUCACUGCUUGUCUCUCUACCUGGCUCACCAAUGACUCUACAUUCAGGAAUCCAACAGUCAUUCCAUACAUCAAUCUCAGUCCCUCGUCUGACUCUUCAACACAGCCCGUCCUGAAUGAGCCCUCGAGCUGCCCAGAUGCUCUUUCAGGUAUAUGAUGGUAACCAACCCAGCUAUGCGUUCAAAAAAUUUGAUUGCGGAUAAUAUUUGGCUUUUAAAACUUUAGCUAAUAAGGAACUCGGAUUUUAAUGAGACGCCAACCCUGCUUAGCUGAAAGUGCAAUAUUAAAUUGGCUAAAAUUUCGGAAACCUAUACCUCCAACUUCUUUUAAAAAACACAUAGUUCUUCAAGGGCACCAAUGAAUUCCUCUCCUCUGUCCCUUUUGCCACCAAAAUUUGGCGAUUAUACCUUCCAUUUCAUCACGUAAUGUCUUUGGUAGUAGAAAACAAGCCAUGGAGUAAGUCGGUAUCGCUUGUAAAAUGGUUUUAAUAUCUCUUUUCCUCCCUGAGACGGUAAUAUUGUACUCCAAUUAUCAAUCCGUUGUUUUAUUUUGUCCUUAAAUACUUGAAAAAAUUCUUUUUUCUUUCUCCCAACUAAACUUGGCAGCCCUAAAUACUUUUCAAAUUCAUUGGAGCUACGAAUUCCCAAUUGGAUGACCACCAUCUGCCUGACUUCCUCAGCUAAAUUACUACUAAAAAAGACUGUUGAUUUGUCAAAAUUUACGCACAUGAGCUAUUUCUGUACUCUCACAAGAUCUGCUUAAGUGCGCUUACACCUUUGCCUGAUGCUUCUUCAAAUAGUAAGCAGUCAUCAGCAAACAAUAGAUGAGACACCCUAGGGCCACUUUUGUUGGCUUUGACACCUUUUAUAACCCCUUCCCUAGUAGCAGUUCGCAUUAGACUUGAUAGGCCUUAUCCACAUAUCAAGAAUAAAAAAGGGCUUAAUGGGUCUCCCUGCCUAAGUCCCCUUGUUGGAUAGAAAUUGUCUCAUUUAAUGCCAUUAAACACUAUUGAAUAGGAGACACUAGAGAUGCAUUUCAUAAUUGAAUCAAUCCAUUUUUGAGUGAAACCCAUUUUAUGCAUGAUUUCUUGGAGAAAGUUCCAUUAUACUUUGUCAUAGGCCUUACUCAUGUCUAACUUGACUGCCAUAAAUCCCUUCUUCCUCCCUCUCUUCUGUUUCAUCGAAUGUAAUAUUUCAUAGGCCACUAAUGCAUUAUCUGUUAUGAGUCUUCCUGGCACAAAUACACUCUGUGCUUCGUCAAUAUAUUUGUCAAUGACUCUAAAUCUAUUUGCAAUCACCUUCGCCAUGAUUUUGUAAAGAACAUUGCAUAGACUAGUUGGCCGAAAAUGAGUCGAAUGAGAAGGAUUAAAUAUCUUUGGGAUCAGCACAAUCAGUGUAGUAUUAAUAGAACUAACCUCCAUUUCACCAUUAAGAAGAUUUAGGCAAAAAGAAACAACAUCACUCCCAACUAUAUCCCAACAUCUUCGGUAAAAAAGGGAUGGAAAUCCAUCCUCUCUUGGUGCCUUGGUGGACCCCAUCUCAAAUAAAGCUCCUCGAAUUUCCUCAUACUCGUAAGGAGUUAAGAGUUUCCUGUUGUCUUCAUCAAAGAUACAACGUUUAAUACUUGCAAAAACUUGAUCAAUAAAAAUACUCUUCCCUGUUGUAAAUAAAUUCUCAAAAUAUACUUGUGCAACGUCCUCCAUUUCCUGAGUGUCUUCCGUGAACUCCCUGUUGUCAUGCUGCAACUUCUUAAUCCAAUUCUUCUUCCUCCUUUAUGUUGCAUGGCUGUGAAAAAAAGUUGUGUUCCUAUCGCCAAGAUGCAGCCAAUUCAACUGAGCCCUCUGUUCCUAGUAAUAUUCUUCCUUUUUGUAACAGCUCCUUUUUUUAAGGUUGAUUUGAACAGUGGUUUCGGGGUCACCAAAUUCGAACGAGUAGGUUGGUAAAUAUUAUAUUUAAUAUUUAUGAGUUAAUUGUGAUUUUAAAAAUGUUUUUGAUAUCGUGAUUUUUGUUUUAUAAGCGAUUUAUUAAGUUCAAGUGGUAUGACCCUAAGGUCAAGUGGGUUUAGAAAAUAAAGUAUUGGGAUCUUCUUUCUAUAAAUUGAGUUAAAUAUUUUUAUAAAUAUUUACGUAGUGGCAAUAAGAUGGUAUUAAAGUUUCGUUGAAUAAUUAUAUCGUUUCGAUAGUUAAUUAAACAAAUAGGACUAAAUUGUGUAAAGUGCAAAAAUUGUGUUCUAUAAUUUAAAUGUAUUAAAUAGAUAUAGAACUUAAAAGUAGAAGUCCUUAUUUGGUAAUUAGACCAUUAAAGAGAUAGUGGGAUAUGAUGGCUUGGCAUUUGGUGUAAUAAAUAAAGUGUAUAAAGGUUAAUAUUGUAAAUUGGUUAAAAAUAAUAAUAAAAUGAAUAUAAUAAAAGAAUCAAGGUGUCAUCUUUUUCAUUCUCUUUUUACUAGCCGAAUAUGAAGGCUUGAAAAGCCAUGGAAGAAGCUUCCAACUUUCAGCUAAUGCAUGGUAGGCAUUUCUAGUCUUGUUUUUAAUUAUUUUUAUAUUUUUGGGAUUGUUGUUGCUUAAUCUAUCUAAAGAGGGGACUAUUUUGCAAAACUAUUAAAUAGUUUGAUAUUUGCCAUUGAUGAGUAUAAUAGGGCUUUGAAGUUUAAUGGAAGAAUAUGAGUCCUUGUUGAUAGUUAAACACUUUUUGUUAAGUGUUUUUUUGUGAAAUUGACAAUUAAGGACUAAAUUGAUAAAUGUGAAAAUUGUGGUUAAAAUGUCAAAUAAAUGAAAUAUGUGGGCUGCGAGAGACACUAAUGAUAUUCUUCUAUAGUAGAAUUUUACUCAAUUUCAUGAAUUUGCAUUUUUAUGAUAUAGGGACUAAAUUGUAAAGAAGUUGAAAUAUUAGGGACAAAAUUAUAAUUUUAUCAUAAAGUGAAUUAUGGACUGUUUUGAUUCCAUGAAUAUUUGGCUAAGCUUAAUUAUGAUUAAAAAUGGUUAAUUUGCAUGUUUUGAGCUCAGGGAUUAAGAUGAAUAAAAGUAAAAUUUUAGGGGUAAUUUUGUAAAAAUGAAAAAAUGACCAAAUUGUAUGAAAUGAUGUGUUUUAAUGUUUAAAUUAAUAUACUGAAUGAAAUUAUUAAUUUAUAUCAAGAUUGGGUGGAAAAUCGAGAAAAUUAAAAAAAUUACCAAAAUGCUUCUGAACUUUGGUAUCUCUACAAUUUAGUUAGGUAAGUUCGUAUGCAAUAAGCAUUGUUAAAUUGAUGUUUCUAAUGCUUUAAUAUUGUAUAAAUUGUAUAUACGUGAAUAUUUUAAUGUCUGACGACAUAUCGACAAAAUGUGGCACUUAGUAUGCAUGGCAAUCAAAUAUGGUACUCAGUGUACGAAAUAUUGAGAAUGACACUUAGUAUGCGAGAUAUUGAGAAUGACACUUAGUGUGCAAAAUAUCGAAUGAUUCAAAGGAUAUCAUAAAUUGUGAUUGAAUAAUUAAAUAGAGCAAAGUGAACAGGUAUACAUGCUAUAUUAUAUGAAUUGUUUAUGAGACGACUUUAUAAUGGUGAUAUUUGGGCUUUGAGCCUAGCAAGCUUUAAGCAGGUAAAUAAUAUUAUCGGAUUUAAAACCUAGCAGGCUAAAUGCCGGUGAUUUGAUAAAAGUCUAAGACUAUGAGACUUUGUGUUAAAUUGACAAUAGAAUUUGUUCAAUGCAUUAAGUUGGCCAGGUAUGUGAUAUAUUAUUAUGCAUGUUAGAUCGAUUGGAAUUGAAUCAUUAAUAUGAAAUGAGAAGUAUAGGUGAAAAUGCCUAUGUCAUAUAUGUGAGUAAGGGCAAAACCAUCGUAAAUUAUCGAUAAGGGUGGACUAUGUGCGGAAUCAUCUUAUAAUUGCUAAUUUGAACGGUUGUGUGCGAAUCAUUUAGCAUGAUGUAUUGUAUUGAGAUUAUGCUUGAGUGAAAUUAUAGAUAUGUGAUGAAAUUGAUUGGUGAUAUACAUGUUUAAAUAAUGUGAAUGCAAAGAAUAUGUGAAAGAGUAAAUUUGUAAUAAAUCUGCUUGGGACAGCAGCAGUAAUGUGAUUUUGAAAAAUCACCAUAAAUUUUUGGAGUUGAGUUAGAAGCUGAAUAAAUUAUGUAAUUAAAGCUUAAUGAGUCUAGUUUCUUAUAAAAGAAACUGUGUAAGCAAAAUAAUUUUUGAUAAUGAUAUAUUUGAAGUGGCGUGGGAUAAAGUCAAAUGACUUCGGGGUCCCCUGUUCUGUUUUUAGAAAAUCAUUAUAAUUUGUACAAAAAUGGUUAUAAGAUAAAAUUUAUAUGCUUAGACUCCUUAAUGAGUAUAGUUUCAAAUGAAAUCAAAUAUAACAUAUUUUGAAUUCUGUACAAUGAGAAAUUUGAUUCGUAGUAAAGAGUGGUCAGAUUAGUCAAACAGUGAAACAGGGGAAACUUUAAGAAAAAUCUGGUAUUGAUUGACCUAACCUAAAAUUCUGAAAAUUUUAUGGAUGGAAGAUUUAUGAGUCUAUUUUCAGGGAAAAUUAACGGCAAUUGAUUUGGAGUUUUGUAGCUCCAGUUAUAAAUAAUUUAGUUACUAUUGCUCAGGAAGACAACUUGUAGUGAAUUUGUGAUUAUGUUGUAAACAUUGAUAAAACUUGUUAAUGAGUUGCUUAUUGUUUUCUUAUGAACUUACUAAGUGUAAAGCUUACUACCCUUUUCUUUCCCAUAUUCCCUAGGGUUGCCAGGAUAGCUCGGGUUGGAGGCCGUCAGAGAUAUUAUCACAUUGUCAAGUCUACGCUAUCGGCGUAAGUAAAUCUUAGUGUUUCGAGUAUAUGGCAUGUAUAGGGUUGUAAAGUUGAGUAAGUAAAUGAUACAAGACUAAGAUAUUGAUAAAUAUUUAAUAAUGCCUCAUGAAUAUUUUGGGGCUUGUAAGCCCGAUUAAAGGAUAAUAUACGUGUGUAUGAAAAGUUUAAAUCUGGUAGCACCUCGAACCCUGUUCCGGCGAGGGAUACGGGCGAAGGGUGUUACAUUUUUAAUUUCAAAGUUUAGCUGAAUUUUUGUGUCAAUCAUGUCAGCUAAAUUUUCUUCAUCCCUUUCAGCAUUGAUUAGUUCUGAUAAUUUCUUUGUUAACAUCUCCUUUUUUCACUUUCUGCUCAUUCGUAUCGUCCUUACCCACCUUUUCAGCCCUAUUCUCAAAACCUCAAGCUUUUGCCAAAGAUCACCUGCUGCUCUCUUCUAAAGGUUUUUAACUUCUUCAUAAAAAGUCUUCUAGCGUUCACCAUGCUUCGAAUUUAAAAUUACCCUCUCUUCUCAUGACCUCUUCUUUACGAGUCUCAAUCAAUAGAGGGCAAUGAUCAGAAAAAAAAUUAACCAGGUUGGACUACCACUUCGGGAAACAAAGCCAUCCAACUUGUAGUAACAACCCCCCUAUCCAGUCGUUCUCGUAUGUUUGUCUUAGGGAGAUUUCCCCUCUCCCAAGUAAACCACCUCUCCGAAAAACCCACAUCAUUUAGAUGACAUUCCUCUAACGUUCUCCGAAACAAAUCCAUCAUUCUCUCCUCUUGGUAAGCCUUCCUG
rnacentral:lncRNA from 1 species